GCCCUAAAAAAGACAAAAAGACAAAAAAAAAAAAGUUUCUGAGUACCUGUUAUGUCCCAGACACUGUGCUGGGUGCUUUUACAUAAAUCAUCUUAUAUAAUACAGUGGUUCUAUGGGGGGGGUCAUUAAAAUAAUAUUACCUACCCCCAUUUAAUUGUUGAGCAUGGAAAUCAGUCCCCAAAUAUUAAUCUUUUUCCCAUUUUAAAGUUGAGGAAACGGAGAGUGGACAGUUUGAGUGAUUGUGCAAAAGCUGUAAAAGUUGUGCUUGAAGUUGUAAAACUAGGGAUCCGAUCAAGUUCGUGUUUGUGUGGCUCCCAUACUCAUGCUCGCAUCCCUCCAUCAUGUUUCCACUCCAAUAUCUGGUCUUUUAUAUUCCAGGUCUAGGCUCCAUCAUUACAAAUUAGUGAUGUCUGAGACUUUUUCCACAGUGACCUGAAUAAUGAAAUUGAUGUAUUCUUCCUAAGGAGCCCGCUAACCAAUGCAGCAUCCCACCCCCUCAGCAAGGCUACCGGCCUAUGAGAAGAGACAUCCCCUUUCUCUAUCAGGGAACGUCCUAGCUGAUUCAAUCUCAUCCAAAACUCAGGGGACUUGUCUGACACCAGCCAGUAUGAGGUGGAGAUGCCGUCAACUUUCUGUCCAUUCAGGCUGCUACACCCACCCAUGUCUCUUUCUCCACUGAGGAAAUCCUGUGAGUGCUACUUGGGAGGAGUAAGGUACCCCUCAGGCCUGUCUCCCAAGAAAGCUGUUUUAAGGUGAGAACAGCAGAAAUCUGCCUUUGCAUUGGCUAGUCAUCCUUCACACCUUUAGAAACAACUGGCACCCCUGAUCAUUUCCCCGAUUCCCUGAUUUUGCUCUGAAAACUUCAGAGGCCAAGCCAUUAGCACGGUGGGGGAGGUGAGCCCCAGCAUGCGUCAUACAAGCUCUUCCACCAUCCCCUGCCUCUGUUAAAUACAUGUUUCAUCACUUACCCUGAUCAAGAGGUACACUCGCUCUUGGAAAACACUUCUUAGAAGCCAGCAUAUUAGGAGGGUUGAGGGUGAUAUUCUUAAGGACCACUUGCAUGCUGAAGGAAAGGGACUCAAAUUCCACCCCACCCCCCUUGCCUUUUGUGGCCAUCAGCGCUCUAAAGUCUCAACCCUCUAUCCACCUGAAAGUGCUUGCAGUGUUCGGUACCAGAACAGUCAAGACCGCAUCUGCUCUCUGCACACCUCUGUUAUCAAGGAGCAAGCUCUUUCAAAGGCUCUCCUCCCUAACCUAGGCCAGUCUAACUGCUUGGAGAAUCUGAUAAUAGGCUUUCCCAUGCCUUGCCAGAUAAAAGGCAUAUGUGGGAGAAUGGGGAUCUAGAGAGUCACCCAGGAAUAUCUCAAGUGGGUUUCAUGGUGAGGAUCUAAGCAAAGACAAGGAAGCCAGGGCAAGCACAUGACAGCAGGCUGCGGCUGAAGCAGUAGGGUGCGGUGGGGCUCAGGAAGCCAGCAUGGUUUAGUGUAGCAGAGGCUAAGUAGAAAAGGGUCAGAGUUUUGCACCAUGGGGAGAAAAGAACAAUGUGAAGGGGUGCUUCAAGAUACCUGCCUGAGGGUGGCCUUAAUCUCGGGGUGGACAGUUGUCUACCCCACCUGAAAUCAGUAGGCACAAAUUCAUGGGAGAGGGGUGGUUCCCAGUAGGUCUGAAUUGGCUGAACGUUUUAGCCUUUCACUAUUCAAACACCUUGCAAUUAGCUGUUGGUCUACUAGACUUGGAUGGCUAUAUCUAAUAGGGCAACAGUUAAAAAAAAAAAAAAGCCUUGCAUCUCUUUAAUUCCUAGUCCAAUAGAUAUAGGCUGUGGAACAGAGGAAGACUAGACUAACCUAUCUGCUGAUCAGCCAGUUUUUUUGUACUUACUGGCCACACUAUGAGUCAAAUAAUGAACUGGAUCUGAAUCUUUUCAUGAGAAGAGAUCUUCAGCUCACAUGUGAAACCCUGGCAUCUUCCAUCAGUUCCAGCUUACUCCUAAAAGUAAAAAUAAAAGGGGGGAGGGAGAGAAAGUACACUUUCUAGGUAUGGUGGGCUUUCCCAGAACUACACUGUUUGUAGUGACUGUGAGAAAGAGCAUUCUGACUUCCACACAGUCUGAUCUGUUAGAUUCUGGGGGGUCUGUUUUGUCUUGCAGCGGGCGAAAUGAGCACGGUGAGGCUGGACUAACAUCUGUGGCAGGGCUGGGAUCCCGAAAGGGCAAUUCAGGUCAAAAGGAACCAACAGACAGCAUAUCUUACAGCCUCACGGGGUGGAUCUGUCUCCCAAGCACUGGUUUCUGAGGUCAUCACCAGUCAUCCUAGACGGCGCUGGCAAAUGUCACUUACCUCACCAUCCAGGAACCUGUGGCUCAGAACCCAUGAAGAAAAGCCUUCAAUCUCAAAUGAAAAUGUCUGGAGUGAAGCCAUCGCAAUGAGGAUGAUGCAUAGCUCAAGAGGAACCCAGAAUAAGAUGCAGAUUUGCCAUGCAGGAAGCUAAGAACAUAUGAAUGCUCCUCUCCCUCUUUCUGCUGGAAUGAUAUCGAGGGUAACAACAGCUGGUAUUUAUUGAGUAUGGCUAACCUCAGGUACUGUGCUAAGAGGUAUGUAUCCAUUUUCCAAGUCAAUCCUUACAGCAACCAGUGAAACAGUUCCUUUACAAUUUCCAUUUUAAAAUGGGGAAACUGGAGCUUGGAGAGGCUGAACAACCUGCCUUGAGCCCAAGAGCUAUUAAGUGUAUUAGCCGUACUCUGCAAUACAAAGCAACCCCUCUUUGAGCCUUAGCUGGAUGCUCUAGAACAGACAACAGUGGAGUUCCCUUCAGCAUUGGGGGACAUGUCCAAGGGCAAGGGGUAUCUGGACAGUGGGAUACGCUUUGUUGAGUCCCAGUCAGGCCCAGUGGAAGCAUCUGAUGUUCCCUCUCAUUCCACCAUCUCAUUUCCAUAGGGUAAGUGUGACCCGUCUCGGGAAGAAGAAAUUACCACCAGGAUGAAGCUCUUUACUUCCUUUUCAAUCUCUAAGAUAAUCCCUCUGACACCUGGCCAAGCCCCAAAGAACGAAAGGGAGGGACUCAUUACAUCUUGGGAAAUUUCACCGGACUUUUAGAGUUUGGGGAUGAGCUGGAAGACUGACAGCUGGGGAUCUCAUUCAGGAAUAGAAUUCUUUAGGCCCUAUGUCAGGAAAAAAAAGACUCGUUGGGAACUGCCAUUAAUCUGGGGGUGGUACUGGGGACAGGUAAUGGAUUUUAUCAGCAACUCUCAAGCCCUGACUCCAUCUACCCUGACUUGUAACUUUGCUGGGCUCUGUUUACCCAAUUCUGGUUAAGGAUCCCUGCUGGCGCCUUUGAUAUAGCGGCGUGGACCAGGCAGGGAAAGCAGAGGCUGGUGUAGCAACAUCUUAGGAGGCACGUCUUCUUGACCAUAGAGGACAAAGGCCCUGCCUUGCAUCACCCCAUGAACUUGACUGGUCCUGCUGUCCUCCACUCCUUGAGGCAACAAAGGGAAGCUGUCCAAUAAGAAGGGUUGGCAGGACCCCCAGAGCACAGAAUUCCAGUGGGAGCCCAGUGAGACACAAAGCAAGUCAAUGCUCUCUGCUUUUAGCGGUGUGGUCCUGCUGAAGGGUGGAACACAGUGCAGAUAUCGAUCUAUUGAUAUUUGCAAAGCCAGGAAUUAAUUUUAAUAAAACAGGGUCACACUUGCUGCUGCAUGGAGAACCGACUGACAAGAUCAAGGCGGAAGCACUGGGACAGGUCAGGAGGCUAUCAUGGCAGUCAAGCAAGAGAUGGCUUGCGCGAGGCUGACAUCAGAGGAAGAGGCGAUUGGAUCGUCAGUAUCCACUGGGAAAGUUGCUGCCUCUCCAUAUCCAUAACACAACGUAAAACGUGAGGUGCCAAGAUAGAGUACACUGUGUUGUGGGAGCUCAGAUGAAAAUUACAUCUGGCUGUGGGAUGAGCUGGCACUUGAGCUGUGUCUUCAAGGAUGAGUGGGUAGAAAUGGCGAGGGAGGAGAGGACGUUCCAAAGAAAGAAAAACAUACGAGGGAAAGCACAAAAAAGGGAAAGAGAAGGCAUGUUUGGGGCCCAGGAGUAAUUCUGUGGAUUACAGGGAGCCUGACAAGGUGGACUAGGAGGUCAGAUUGGUCUGGUGGAUUUGGGAUACAUCACAGAGGGCCUGGCGUGCCAGGACAGAGUUCGGGCCAUGGAGAGCCACAGCAGGUUCUUAAGGAGGAUUUUGUGUGAGCAGAGCUGAGCUCUAGAGAGCACUGGGAAACUAGAGGCUGCAGGGGAACCUGGAAGCAUCUGCUUUGGGUCUCUGUAUAUCCAUUCAUUAAGGAGAUCUUUGACUUUCUUCAAUCCUAAAUCUUUUGUUCCAGCCAGACCAGCCUUCUCCCUAAGCAGGGGGCUGUGCACAAUCAUCCCUUCCUCCCUGCUUUUAUUUUUCUGGUUCUCAGCACCUAGGACACUUUCCCCAGCUCCAUUUAUUCAAAGCCUCCCCAUUCUUCUCUGACUCCUUGGCCUCUAUUGCUCUCUUCCUUCUAUCAAAGCACUUGUCUACACCACCCAUGUUGGCUCUUAAUCUCGAACUCCCAUUUUCCUAAGUAUGUAUUUCAAGAACAUAGGACUUUCCCUGGGAGAUAUAAGCUCCUUUUGGUCAAGGACAUUACUGGGCAUUCCCUUUGUUUUCUCCAUAGUGUCUGGCACUCAGUAGCCACUGAAUUAUACUGACCACCCUCAGACCUAAUAGUGAGUGUUGAAAGCCAGGCUGCCUCUUUAAGAGUCAAGAGUAGAAAGGCAAUUGUCCAGAUACACUGACAUCUAGACAUACAGGGAACCCAUCUCCUUGCCACUAUCUGUCUUCCAUUCCCUGGCUAUCCCCUAAACACACUAAGAACUGGACACACUUAGGUUUCGCCUUCCCUGAGAGAACUGAUAAUUCCUGGGAAAUUCUCUCUCCUCCAGAGAAUAUAAUCCACAUUCAAGAGACUAUACCAAGCCCAUAGAGAGACAGGAAAGAGGGCCUGGGUCAGAUGUGGUGUGCUCCCCUCUCCUCCUAGCACUUCUGCCCCUCCUCCAGCUCCUGGCACCUUCCCUGCAUCCUGCUCCUAGGCUCUGUGCCACAUCAUACGUGCUUUUCCCAGAGAUGGUUUACCUACUUUAGGGGCUAAGGCCCUGGAGCCACACCCCCAUCCCAUUUCACCCGCCAUUGGAAACAGCAAGCAGUGAGACACAAGUUUCAAGGCAGCAACAGGGCUAGGUGGAUUCUCUCUCAACACCUGCCACCUUGCAGGAACAUGGGUCACUUAAGGACACAAUGCAAAGGCACAGAUGAUGGGUUUCUUUCUCUGUUGCUGUGGACGCUCAGUUGGGUGCUUGGCCUGUCCUUUGGCCUCCAAGGCUGACUGGUUCUUUCCAAAUGCUCCCCCUGCCAUUUCUUGGCGAGGUUUGGAGGCCGGGGGAGUCAGCGAGGUCACCCACCCAGGAAAGACAAAGGCGUCAGAUUUCUUGCCCAUGGGUUCAACUGGAUGCUGGCCCAGGAUCCAGUAAGCCAGGGCCCCUGACCCAACUGAGCUCAGAGACUAGUAGUGGAGACCAACCCAGGUGGCUAUGCCAUGGCUUCGGCGCAGUAACGGGGGCUACAGAGGGCUGUGGGCACCCCCCCCUUCAUUUCAAAACCUUUUCUUCCCACCUCCCUCCCAAUCCAAGCUUAGGUUUAAAUCGCUUGUGGAAAAGUUCCCCUACUCUUCCUCCGUCUUCCAUUUCUGAAACUCAGGGGGUUGGGGGUAGGGAAGAGCGACCUCCUUUCACCGAGUCCCAUUCCCCCACCCCCAAAUCUGGGUAAGCUUGGCGCUCUGCAACCCUGACCUCCAACUCCAGGACAGAGAGGGGGCCUGCGGUGGUGGGGGGUGCGGGGGCAGGAGGGUCUUAAGGCCUGGGGCGGAGGCGCGGCUGCAGGAGGUAAACUUCCCUGCAACCUGCCCAGGACCGAC